UAAGUCCCUGUCUGGUAAGGCUUAACCAGCCACCAGUAUCGAGUGUUGCGCCUGUGGCGGAGUUUCACUGAAACGAACAAUACAGGUGAAGCGUACACAGAGAAUCAUAUAGGCCAUAGGGGCUAUCGUGGCCCUGAAGUGCUGGUAUCGCUCCGAGAAUUACCAUCUGACUGACGAGGUUUGUAACGCCACCGAAGUCCAUGCAAAGUAGCCGUUAUUCAUAGCAAACGAAAGGUGAGGCUACGGCGAGUCAGCGGGGUUAUCAAGCC
rfam:Thalassomonas actiniarum strain A5K-106 contig_68, whole genome shotgun sequence.